rnacentral:rRNA from 1 species
UACGUAGGGUGCAAGCGUUGUCCGGAAUUAUUGGGCGUAAAGAGCUCGUAGGCGGUUUGUCGCGUCUGCUGUGAAAACCCGAGGCUCAACCUCGGGCCCGCAGUGGGUACGGGCAGACUAGAGUGCGGUAGGGAGAUUGGAAUUCCUGGUGUAGCGGUGGAAUGCGCAGAUAUCAGGAGGAACACCAAUGGCGAAGGCAGAUCUCUGGGCCGUAACUGACGCUGAGGAGCGAAGCAUGGGAGCGAACAGG